rnacentral:lncRNA from 1 species
UCCAUUUGAAUCAUCUUUACUACAGAUUCAGAGCACAAACCAAUGUGAACUGAAACACAAAGAAAGAAACCACACUUUUGUUAUUAAAACAGAUCAAUCCAAGAUUUUCUUGAAAAUUAAACUUCGUAUUUCAGCUUCCUCAACUAAAGAUUUCUAUGAAAUCGAAACUAAGGCUAAAGAAUCAGUUUCAAACCAUAAGUUCUCGUAGUGAAGAAAUCAUUACCUUCGUCUUCACGUUUGCAGGAGAAUCCGAAAUCCAAGAGCAGAUCUGUAAUGAAUAGAAUAUACAGAUCGCAAAACAGAGAGAGAAAUUAAGAUUCUCGCAAAACAGAGAGAGAAAUUCCGAUUCUUCUUCUUUUUUUUUUUUUUUUUUGUCAGACCACAAUCAUGAAGAAUAUAUAAAUCUACAAAAAUAGAUAUUACUUACAUAUUUGAUUGAUAUUAUGAACUCUUGAAGACUUGUAUACACUUUUGUUUUCGCUUUCUCUUUAUGUGAAAGAAAGAGAUUUAUACAAAAAA